rnacentral:rRNA from 1 species
AGAAUCAACGCUGGCGGCGUGCCUAACACAUGCAAGUCGCACGAGAAAGGGACUUCGGUCCUGAGUACAGUGGCGCACGGGUGAGUAACACGUGAAUCAUCUACCUUCGAGUGGGGAAUAACUGAGAGAAAUCUUAGCUAAUACCGCAUAAUACCUACGGGUCAAAGCGGCAAUGCGCUUGAAGAGGAGUUCGCGGCAGAUUAGUUAGUUGGCGGGGUAAUGGCCCACCAAGACGAUGAUCUGUAUCCGGCCUGAGACGGGGCGCGACGGAACGACGACCUGGAAACUGAAACACGGUCCAGACUCCUACGGAGGCAGCAGUGGGGAAUUUUGCGCAAUGGGGGAAACCCUGACGCAGCAACGCCGCGUGGAGGAUGAAAUCCCUUGGGAUGUAAACUCCUUUCGAUCGGGAAGAUAAUGACGGUACCGAGAGAAGAAGCCCGGCUAACUUCGUGCCAGCAGCCGC